CAUCUUGCUUUUAGUGAAAGGUAUCCUUGGAUGACCAAAAGAAUGACAGGGACAUAUCUCGAGUGACAAAUGUUGAUCUCUUGAGACAGUACAAAUAGUUCUAUUCUUCUAAAUAAUGACAUUUUUCUUUUUGCAAAUUUAAAAAAGUAUGUCUUUAAUAAGCUGAUUUUUACAGUUGCGUUCAAAACUGAUGAACAACAUCUCCACUACUGAAAAAUUAUACUUAAGCCCGUCAUCCGUAAGGCAGUUUACUCAAAAAGCAUACUACAUCAGGUAGAGAUGAAUGCCAUGAUUACUUUUAUAAGAUAAUGGAGCCCUGACUUUUUCCAGCUCUGUUUGCACAUUAGCCUGAAAUGAACUUUAUUGCUCAGUGGUUUCAUUUGCAUCAUCAUUUUCAGUCACUAACCCAUAAAAAAUACACACUCAAAUUCCCUGAUCACUUUUGAGCACUUCCUGUAUUAGAAAAGGAUUUCACAACUGCUUCUGAACUGAGUACUUUCUGCCUUCAUUUGAAGUAUUGGCUUACUUUAGGCAUUUGUUAUUAAGACACUUGUAAUGUUUUUUGCCAUAUUUUCAUGACGUGUCUUUUCCUCCUUGACUGUUGUGCCUUUUUGUGUUAUCUGCAGGGACAGCCUCAGCCCUGGUGGAUCAAGCCCCAUCAUCAGGCUUCACCAACAUGGAGUUAUACCAGCAUGAGUGGAAUGUGAGAUAGGGUUACGGUUUCUUUUCCAGUGUAGCCACAUUGCACAAUUCCUAGUGUGCACCAUUUAUAGAAGGACGAAUGGCUCUAGCUUGUUCUGCAGUUCUAAGAGAGAGCAAACUGUUACAAGGUAAGCACCUUUUUAUUGAUAUGCCACAGAUCACACAAGAUAAUCUUACUCUUCUAAAUUCUGUGGAAUAAAAUGGUGCAAUUUUGGUGUGUAAACAAGUUCUUCUAAGCCAAAAGCUUAAAACCUGGUCCCUCGGGUCACUGUAUUCCUCCAUUGCUUUCCUUCACCCCUAUUUCAGGCCAUCUAUACAAAGUAUGUAGAUAGCGGCACGCUGCGGAUCGGGUGUCUCGGACAGCUGGCAACACGCUUGGAGUACAUGCAUAGCACCAGUAAUUCCAAAUGCAAGAGCAAACCCAAAGACUUUAAGAGGUUUCAUAAGGUUUGCUUACUAGUAAUGUUUUUUCCAGGUGCUGUUUCCAUGUGUUUGAAAGUUUGAAAAACGUGUUCUUGCUUUCAAAUUGAAUAGAUGAUGAACAUUGCAAAGCAGGCAUGGUACUGAUCACAUACCAGCACUUUUUUCAGCUUUCUGAAGUCCUGAAGGACACUCUGGGAAGUAUUACUUUUUUUUGCCAACAGUUCUAUAAUAUAGUUUCUAUUUAUUUGCACAUACAGUUUGUUAUGCCAUCUAUGCAGAGGCUUUUUUUUGGGGGGGGUGGGGCGGAGUGGGUAAGGAAAAUAUUUGUGAGAAGAGGUAAUUGGAGCCAAAGCAAGUAAACCUGACAUGAUAAAAUCUGGAAACUAUAUAGCAAAGAUACUUCCCACUUCUUCUAUUGAAAAACAAUGCCCACGAUUUCUCCUGUUUUCCUAUUGUACGGUAAAGUAUUUCUUCAUAUUGCAAGUUACUUUUAAGUAUCUCAGUUAUGGUUUUGUGUACCUUUUUAAAGCAAGACUGUGCAUAUGACAAUGUCUCUGAUGGUAGCAGAUGGAAAUACCAGCAGAGUUUCUGUCACGAUAUGGUAAUUGCUAAACCAAUAAAGCAAACUCACAUGGUUGCAUCUUGUAGCUGUCUGUUUUAACUGUUUAACUAUGCUCCCUCUAAAUGUGUUUACAACUUAGAAAACAAACUGUAGGUUGGUCUUGAGGGUCCUUUGUUGCAACAUAUAAAUAAAAUAUGUUGUUUUUUCCUACCCAAAAGUGGUGACGUAAUUUCAAUAGUCAGUUGCCUUAAGUGUAGCUAUCUGAAGUUCAGACUAUUGAAAAUAAAAUUUAAAUCAGAUUACAUAGGAGGUUUGGGACAGAAUUGAGAUAAUUUAGUUUCAUUAUUUAAUCACAGCAUGACAGGCGUAUGCAUUUAUUGAUGUAAUACUGCUGACAAGAAGAGUCAAUGCAUACAAAAAGACCAUUGGAAGCAGCAGCUGCCUCUGUCAACCGAUUAAAAAUCAAGGGAGAUUUUAAAGUAUGUUUCUAUUAAUUUAAAAUGUAAUCGUUUUACGUAGAAGGGUUUUAAUUACACUUAGUCUCAAUGUCCUCAUUAUGCACUCAGAUGGACUAAAUAUCCAUGAUCCUUGAAUAAAAUGUGGUUCGACAAAAAAGAAAGUGGGAGAAUAGCAGAAAAGAGAUUUUAAAGGAGUGGUAAAUAAUCUAGAAUGAAGACAUCGUGUCUGCGCAAUUUUCACAGCACAAUUGUGAAUGUCAGAUAACAGCAACUAGAUUUUCACUGGGGGCUUUUCAUUCUUAAAGAUAAUAACACAUCAGAAAUACAUUCAGGUUAGUUAGCAGACUUAUAAAAUUGUUUAAAUUCUCGAAACCUCUGAGCAGAGUCUGUCUCGUGAAAAUGCCCCACUGGUUUUCUGUUACGUAUACCUCAAAUGGCAAUGCAGUGAGACCGAGGACACACGGCUCUCGUAUUUCCAAUUUAUAAUUCUGGGUUAUUUCUUGUUCUGAAAAGUUCAUUGCAGAAUAUAACACCUUUUGCCUUUCAUUUUCCCUUUUUAUAUCAAACCGUUGAUAGAAAAAAAAUAAUAAAAAAAAGCUGACUGUUAGGGUCUUACUUCUGUACAAAAUAAUAUGCUAAAAAUAUAUAUACACUGAGAUUAUUUAGAUUCUCAUUAAGUGUGCCACAUCCAGAAGACCAAGCUGAGGUUGCCUGUCCAAACACAGUUCUGUCUUCUGCUCUGGGCAAGAAAACGUGUGGUUAUGUGUAAAUUACACAGUCAAUUAUCAGGCUGUCAUGUCUUAAUUUUGAGCAUUUGAUCUUGCUGUUCUUUCAUUGAAGGCUGGAGUAUUUCUGUGGAUCAUGGAGUUGUUUUUAUUAAUUUGUUUCAGAGGAAAGUUAAUUGCCAAUUCAAAAUCACACGCUGAGUGAAACAGAUUUCUGCUGUAUUCCAUGGCUUUGAUUGAACUCUGGGACAGGAGAAGAAUAUUUUAAGAAAUUGCACUGUGUGGAAACAAAGAACACAAAGACAAUGGGAGAGAAAUAAAUGCUUGUGACUGAUCUGAGGCAGAAGAGCCACAUUUGCAACUAGAGCUGGGGGGCCGAGAUUUGAUUAAAAAAGCACAGAUUGUGACUGGGACAGCGCAGCGAGAGACUACUUCCAGACACAGAAAUAAAUCUUGUAGGCAGCUUCAAACCAUGCACAGUCUGGACGGUGAGGCAGACAGCAGCUCUUCCCAGAACUGCUGGAGAGCGUUUCCGCAGAAGCUGAGCGGACGGACUGUCAUUUUCAGAGCCGGUAGGAAGAGCUUUGUUAAUCUGAAGUAGGAGUCAAGUGCACAAGUCCCCGCUGCAGCUGCAAGAGACGCGUUAGCUUUGGAAGAAAAGCCACAAUCGGCAGAAGGUGAAUGAGUGAAACUCAAGUCUCAGUCGUAACAGUGAGAAUAUGUGAGCACGAAGUGGGGAAAUGUUUGCCUCGUCUCGCUGCCUCUGUGGAGGGAAGCUGUCUUGCUGCAGAAGUGUGAAAUCUGGAGAGCAGCACUUAUGCAUCACAGGCGAUAAUAAAAAGUGAAAGCCUGUAGAUGCAGCCGAGUCACAGGCUCUGGCAGUCAUCAGGAGGCAUGGGAAGGCAUUUCUCUUUGUAUAUGAGAGGUUAGCUUUAGGCAGAGCUGAUCACAAACUGUGUCAAAGAGGGCUUGGCAAAAACUUCCCUAUGUUUUCAUCUACAAAUCCUUGUUUACAAGCAGACCGCAGCUUCAUAAUAAACUGUAUUGGUGGCAGACUCACUGUCUUCAGCCUUCAACAGAAGUUCGGUAGGACAAAGUCUACAGAGCUCGUUUAUACAUACAUUGAUCUGAUUUAAAACAAACAAAGAAGUAAACCCGAUUAGUCUCAGAGGGAACAUGGAGUCUGAUUAACUAAAUUAUUUGUGAAGUUAGUAUCCUAGAGAAAGUCCUGAAGAUAUUGCCACAGAAUUACGAGAACAGCAUUUCCCAGCUCCUACAAUUAAAGGGACAGUUUGCAAAUUUGUCUGGGUUUAACUUUGAAGGAACAAGGACAGAAAUUCUUAAGUUGUUACAUUAAAAUACAUUACAAUGGAUCUCUGAAGCAGAGAUGACCGAAAGAGUCCAAGCUGGUAUCAGGGGAAUUGCUGGCCUCCUGAAGCAAAACAGGCACAGUUUUGUUGAGAUGGGCUGAAAAAGUAAUUUAGCUCCAUGUGUUGCACAGCAGCUGAGGACUGCUGCCAUUUGGCAGUCUCUCCAGACUAUUAAAGGAAGAAUUUCAGUCCACUCGCCAGUUGUUUUUUACAAGGAAGGGGGCAAGGGAAUCCCUUGUGAUGUUUGAUAUCGAUGUUCAUCAGUAAGGAUGAAGAGCAGCUCCUGCUUGCCACACCACUUCAAAGGAGGAGCCCAGGUGGAGAGACAUGCUGUGUCACCUGCGGCGUGACUUGUCUAUCAGCAGCUAAAGGGCACAUCAAAUCAACUCUCUGCCUACUCCAGAUUAGAAAAACUGGGGCUACAGAAGACUUGUGAAAAAUCCUAAUAUCUGGCUGUGAAAUUGCUUACACCCAUUUCGCGCCGAUGUAGAACCGAGGACGCCAGGGAAAUUACUGCAGAAUUAUACUGAUAAAGGGGAGCCAUUCUCUACUGAGCCGUCUUGUGCAAAAGCAAAUGCAAAGGGAAUUUAGACCCUGUUUAACAACCUGCAGGUACAUCAGAAGGGUAAUUGAAUCCCUACCAUGUGCGUGUAGAUGCAAAAAGGAGAUGUGUACAGCUGGAAAGGGGAGCGUCCAUGCUUUCUCCUGCCAACGUUAGCUCUGCUCACUGUCUCUAGGACCUGGUGCAGCACAUCUCUGAAGCCCUCUUGCAGAAACAGGAAGCGCGGCGGUGCUGGAUGGGGAAAUGGCAGCGGCGCUCCAAGGCCUGCUCGCUGCUUCUCUCUCCAACGCUCUCAGGGAGGAGCUGGCUAGGACCUGUCUUCUAGGGCAGCAUAUGGUUUGCUAAACUUUUCUGCAACUGUAGGAUGGCGUGCGUCCAGGCAGCUUUCAUUCCCUGCCAGAAUUUUAAAGAAAUGUUAACAAUGUUUACACUUUUCAGUUUUGACAGUCUCUAAAAAUUGCCUGUUUAAACCUUCUCUCCCUCUCUGACAACACAAGAUCCAGCUACUCCUUCAGUGCCACAGCACUUACCCAUUGUCACCGCAGGACUCGGAGGAGAGCAAUCCCACCAGCAGGGUCGCUCACCCCUGCCACACCGGUGCAGCCUCGGUCCGUGCUGCAGCUCCUUGAGCUCAGGGUGCUCGAGUAAGUGCCUGUGCCACCUACAACUGCGAAAUGGGAACAUUUCCACGCGCGACAAAUUCAGUGCCUGGCAUCUAUUUGGGGGAGUGGCAGCUUGCGCAACAGAGGGACUGGGGUUUGAGAGCUGAGGAGCUUUGGUAUUGUUCAGCCUUUCGGCUUUUAAAAAGGGGGAGAUUGUGUUCAGGGGAUAUAUCAACUGAAUCUGUAAGCAGGCGCAGCACGCUUGCUUGACAAAGGGUUGAGACUUGACAGUCAAAUCUACAGAUAAGAAACCUCCCCUCACAAGUAGAUUGGAUGCUUUCUUCUCAUCCCCCUUUUACCUGAAUAAACACAUCUCUGCCGUCAGAACGAUGAAGCCUGGCUUGGACGGUGUGGGGCAGACUAAUGAAAGCCAUGGAAAGUUCCUCCCUCACUAGGCUUAGAAAAGGAAGAUAACGAGACAUCUGGGAGAUGCUGCUAGUGGAAUCCGACAGCACACCAGGGGGUGUUUAAACGAAAUGUAAAGACCGAUAUUUUUCGCAAGGUUAAGGACAGAGACCACAGCCAGAAUGCUUUGCUUCCAAAUGGACAUCUGGCAAAUAUUGAUCUACAAUUGUAUUUAGUGUGGAAUGGAAAGUACAGGUUGUGACAUGAGCAGUCAAUAGUUUUUUAGACCAUUGAUCCUUACAGUGGCUAUUGAUUGUUUUUUAGGCUAUAGCACAAUCUAUUUUUUCAUUUAGCUUAGCUUAAACUAAUUGGAUUGCAACUCGUGUGCCUGUGUAUGUGAAAAGGGGCUCGACAUGCAUUAGCAAUAUAUAAAAAAAUGCUCAUUUUUAAGGUUUUUUUUUUUUUUUUUUUUUUCUUCCCCUAUCAUUUAGUAGGACCACUCAGUUACAACUUUGAUAAGACAAAGUGAACGCUUGCUUCAAGGGAGUCCAGAUGUCACCAUUUCCCUUCUGCUGCAUGACCUGAACAUUCCUCCCCCUCCCCCCCCAAAAUUCUAUUUCUAUGAAAAAAACAACUGCUAGAAUGAGCACACGAGGGAUCUAGCUGAUUUCUGUAGGCACUUACUCUUUUCACUCACUCUCAUCCCAUCUGAUUUAAUUGUUUGCUUUCUUCUGCAGAGAAAAUCUGCUGUUGCCUGCUGCUUGGGGAUUUUACAUAAGGUUCAGUAAGUCCUUCUGACUGUACUGGAUUUUACGAAUUGUAAAAUAAGCUGAAGAUAUUUUUUAUUCAGUUAGAAGCAGCUGUAUGUGGGAAAGGACUGGCGUACAAGAAAUGGCCAGUAACUACAAGCCAGGUCACGCCUUGAGGUGUUAUUUCUUGUGAUUGCUAUUUAUAUUUCAGUGCAGACUGGAGUCUUUCUUUUGACCAAGGCAUAACAUUUCCACUACAGGCAAUAGCCAGCUAAUGCUCCAGCCGUUCUGCAAAUAAGUUAAUCCAGUGUUUGGAUUUAGUUCCUCCUCCUAGAGCUAGAAACAGAAUGGAGGUGUUUAUUAUACAGACUCAAUACUCAUCCACAAUAACUGUUGGAGUAAAUAAAGUGUCAAAUGUAUGCACUGAGCAAUGCUAUUUAUGUUAUCUAGACAAGUUGAGAAUGCAUCGUUAUGCUGUACUGCUCUUUCCCAGAUCCAAGAAAGUGAACCACAAAUCUUUCUGCUGUUAUCUAGCAAUUAUUUGCGUACCGCUUUUGCAUCAAUAGCACUGGGAAUGGAACAUUUUUUUUCUGUUGUCAUAUAUAUCCUGACACACUGCAUGUCCUGAAGGUCAGGAUUCAAAACAUUCUGGGAAUUUUUAUCUAGGUUGAAAACAUUGACCAUUUUUUACAUCUCAAAUAAAGAAAAAAAAGUGUAAGGAAAGUGUGACAAAAAAAUAAGUUCCUGUUAUAAUUUUAAAUUAAAAUUUCUUAUACAAUGAUUCAAUUUAACCACUCAAAUAAUGCAAUUUGGCCAAUCAAACCAGACUACUGAGUAUUCUGAGAUUUCAAAGCUCACCUUUGAUGUUGUUUUAAGACAAAUAUAACACACCUGUGAGGACUAUUCACUGAUACUGUCUUUCAUUGGAGAUUGAGCAGCUUACCUGUUUAGUAGUUAGGAAUUAGGAGUUAAAAAUUCAAUACAUUGCAUGUUUUGGUGGGAAUAGGUGGAAUAUUUAUGAUUAAAGACUUUUGUUUUGGAAGUGAAAAAACUGCAAAGCCUUCAAAUUCUUAUCUUAAUGAUACAUCGAGGUGAACUUGACCUACAACGUGAAAUUUGAAACUGAAUCACAACUGAGCAAAAGGACCCGGAGUUGCUUGGGUCAAGGUCCAGAAUCAGAUUUUGCUUGAAUGAAACCUGACUCCUGAAGAAGGGCUGCACACCCUGGGGGUUUGGAUUGGGUGAUGCUCUGUGGUUAGACUGGAUCCCAGCCCACCUUUAAUGGCUGCUCUCAAAAGCAGUGAUUCUUGGGCAGAGUGCUGAACUUUCCUGGUGGUUUUAUUGACAUCAAACCAGCAAACAAAAGACAGCUUCAUCACAAAGGCAGCAUUUUAGUUUCCAAAACAGUAAAAUGUACUUUAACUUGAUGUAUGUAGCUGCUGCUUUAGUUUUGCCUUGAUUUUAAGGUAAAGGCUUAUGCAAGUGUCUGUAAAAGGCUGCUAAUUGUUUGAAAUAACAGCUGAGGCAGCUUUCUUCUGCAGUGUGGUCUAUUUUAGCAUUAUAAGUUUGCUUUGGAUGGGAGUUCCUCUAUUAGGGAAGGGUUAUUUUCAUUCUCUGAAUUUCUGUGAAGAAAGAAAUCAGCAUUUUCAGCAUUUAAAUGUCUUCCGGGCAGUAGCUAUUUAUCACACGAGACAGUAUUUCAGGACAUCUUUAUUUUCUCUGAGAAACUGCAAAAAUACAGUGCAAUGCCAGUUAUUGCUGGAUGCGCAUGCAGAGCAAUAUUGUUCUGUUGCCUGGUAACUGGUGAGAGGGAGGCACUUUGGAAACAUGAGAGAAAAAGAGAAAGAGAAAGCUCAACUGCACGCACUUGAGCAGAAGACUUAAAAAACUGGUGUUUGUUCCAGAGAGGAGGAGCUGACUGGGAGAAUGAAGAAUGGAAGGAUUUUUUUUUUUUUUUUUUAAUAUGAAAAUGAGUAAGAGGACUGCCAGCUGGAACAGCUUUGCUUUCCCAACCUGCUGAUACCUUUACUUGUAGGCAAAAAGGUAUAUACUGAGAGUACUAUAUGAUUUCUUGUAAUUCAGAAAAACGACUGC